GGCGCUGUAGCUCAGUGGUAGAGCACCUGACUCACACAUGUGAGGCAGUGGGUUUAAUCCUCAGCACCA
rnacentral:tRNA from 1 species